rnacentral:rRNA from 1 species
UGCCUGGCGGCCAUAGCGCGGUGGUCCCACCUGAUCCCAUGCCGAACUCAGAAGUGAAACGCCGUAGCGCCGAUGGUAGUGUGGGGUCUCCCCAUGCGAGAGUAGGACACUGCCAGGCAUCAAAUA